rnacentral:rRNA from 1 species
CCUACGGGAGGCAGCAGUGGGGAAUAUUGGGCAAUGGGCGCAAGCCUGACCCAGCAACGCCGCGUGAAGGAAGAAGGCUUUCGGGUUGUAAACUUCUUUUAUUGAGGACGAAACAAAUGACGGUACUCAAUGAAUAAGCCACGGCUAACUACGUGCCAGCAGCCGCGGUAAUACGUAGGGGGCAAGCGUUAUCCGGAUUUAUUGGGUGUAAAGGGCGUGUAGGCGGGAAUGCAAGUCAGAUGUGAAAACUAUGGGCUCAACCCAUAGCCUGCAUUUGAAACUGUAUUUCUUGAGUGCUGGAGAGGCAAUCGGAAUUCCGGGUGUAGCGGUGAAAUGCGUAGAUAUACGGAGGAACACCAGUGGCGAAGGCGGAUUGCUGGACAGUAACUGACGCUGAGGCGCGAAAGCGUGGGGAGCAAACAGGAUUAGAUACCCGAGUAGUC